AGUCUGUGAUGUGGACAUUGUUGUGGGGUCCUUUGAAUGAGCUCCAUGCCUCAAAUAAGGAUUCUCUAUCCUUUUGUAUGAAGCUUGUGAUGAGGUGUCUCAAGUGU